UAGACUAGGAGUUACAGUUGGUGGGAGGUUGCUGAGACGGUUGGAAACUGACCUGUUAUAACUGAGGUUAAGUUUUCACUCCGGGGCUACAUUGGCAGAGACAGUGUGCUCAGGCUAGAUUUCAGGAGAGCUGCUCCUGUGUACUCCCCCAGCACCCAGGCUCACCUUAUAUUCGUGAGUGAACUGAUGUUCAUGAACAUGAGCUUAUAAAUGUGUUGUUUAUCAUGAAGUAUCACGGACUAUCGUUAAGGUUAUAUUAGGGUGGAAAUUGUCAAGCGGCUUGCAGGGAAGUGAAGAGAGCAGGCAGUGAUGCAGCUGGACCUGGAAGUCAGGCCCUCUGAAAAUGUGACACCUCAGGAGCCUCAGUAAAGGCAGCUUUAGAUGGCUCUGCCACCUCCACAAAGAAGUGUGGUCUGCUGUCAGGAUCUUUUGAAAGGGGCUGUUUCCUGUGUCUCUCAAGAGAUGAAGGAGAAAAGGCCUAUCUCUGUCGAUGUUGAAUCAUGGGAGCAGGGAGUAUCCUGAGUAGGACUGAGAGGUUCAGAAAGGAGUCAGGCUCAAGCUUCAAGGGGAUGUGUGCCUGACCACCCACCAGCCAACAGUGCAACUCUGGAUACUCCAGCCAUGAUGUCCUGGUCAUGCUAGUCAAGAAUGGUUCCCUCAUCCCAGCCCCUGACUUGGGUUUGCAACAUGUCCUGGAACCUGGACCACCAGCACCAGGUGCUGCUGCUACAAAAUUCCUGAACAAGAUGCGAAAGUGUUUCAGCUGAGCCUUGAGAGGUGAAAGUACCUGUGCACCUGUCCCCUGGAUGGGACAACUUGAGGAAGGGCCAUCCAUAUUCCCAUUCCCUACCCAGGACACUGCUAAUGUGCAUAUGAGGAGAACACAAGACCCCAACCUGCUGCAGGGUGGAGAGUAGAGACAACUGGAGCUUUCCGCAUAACACUUGUGCAUUCCUUCUGCAGGCUUCAAAAGCCUAAUCUGUGAUUUUAGACACAAGACAGGAGGAGACUGAGAGGAAUCCUUUGAUCCAAUACAGCAGGAGAAGACUAUCAUCCCAAUCGCUUAAGUGGAGGUCCUCCUGGAGAGUUCCCCUUUCAAAACCUGCAAAACCUUUCAUUUUUUUUUUAGUCAUAUUCUUUAAAAUUCAUAAAAUGUUGCAACAAUAAAAAUGAGUAUUAUAAAAGUUGUUUGAUAGAAAACAACUAUCAAUUGAACAAUCUUAUGUAGCUGUUUGUGUACUGCAAUACUGAAAAUACAUACAUUUUUCUCAAUAUAAAUUUUAAAUAACUCCAAAUAUAUUAACUGUAUGUUAUUUUAAAAUAAUAUGUCACUAUUAGUUUUUGUAAUGAACAUAAAUAAAGUCUUUUUGUUUGCUUUGUUUUUAGUAGAGUUUAAAAUCUUGGCUCUUACUGUGGUACAAAAUAACUUUUGGGACAGUCUUAAGAAGUCUUG
rnacentral:lncRNA from 1 species